UUUACUCAGCAACACUGUUUUAGAAGUUGCAACAUUCAUCUUUAAACAUUAAUUACCAAGGCAUGAUUGCUUCAAAAAUCCACUGCCCCAGGCCAGGGCCUAGGAAGUGGAAAAUGUAAUUUCAGAAACUGAUGAGAAUAAAUGCUGAGCCUUUUAAUUGCAGGUUGGUAUAAAUGACUAAUAGAAAAGCAAAGCUCAUUUUGGAUGAAUUUGUUGUUCUGCACAUCAUAUUCAAAACUUAUCAGUGAGUUGCCUGGGGUUUGUUCUUUCCCCCUAUUCUCUUUGUAAAAGUCAAGAAACAGAUGAAUUUUUGAGAGGUAGAGGAAGUACUUUUCUAAAAAUACAGUAAAAAACUAUUUACAAGACAGAAAGAGAGAGAGGAAAAAAGCAAGGAAGAAAGAAAAGCAGGGAGAAAGACUAAAUGAUACAUGCAAAGUCAGGCAAUAGUUGCAACAGUCAUUGGACAACUGCUGUGCUCUUCUGGAACUUCAUUUCAGGGUGAAGGCUGCAGUGAUUCUCAGCAUCUAUCUCCAUCUCCCUCAGUUCUGCUGAAAUUUACCUGGAAUCACCGACAGUCUAACAAUGGAUCAGGCCUGCUUCAUCAUGUGUGGCAACACAAGAUUACACGCGGCUAUGACUCAACAUUGCCACAUCAGAUGUCCCAGCCUGAUGCCAACAGAACCACUGCAAUAGCAAUGGCAUCUUCAUCUCCACCCUUUUGGCCUUGUUGCUGGCAGAAUGGGGACAGCCCUCUGUAAGCACCUUUGCAGGGCAUCAGAGUCACUUUUCACACUGAGGUAGAGAACUUGUUCAUUCUAGCCCCACACUGCCACACUUGGGAAAACACAUCUGAUGGAAGACGUGACUCAAAACCUGAUGGGUCUGAGGCUGGUUUCCUGCAUGACCAUAGGACAGACCAUACAAACAGGCUCUGUGAUGGUCCUGAAGUUGCAUUGGUGCACCAAAGUUUGGUGGCCAAAGAAACUACAAAUUGUGAUAAUCAUCUUUUCUAAUGCUCCUGUUCCCUGGAAAACUCCAGUCUGCUUCUGAGUGCUCUCAGAAGCACUUCUGGCCUCGUUGCACUGCACAGCUUGUGCCUGCCUCCUUGGGAUUGAGAGAUGUCAUGCCACUUCACUACCAUAAGGACCUGAAUCACUAGGUAUACCAAAAAUCUGCCUAACCCUUCAUGUUUCAUCCAGAGAAGAGGAGAGAAGGUGUUCAUGAUAAUGAUCAGUGCAGCCCACCUCCUCUCCCAGUUGCUAUUAACUGUUUUGUACUGGAAGAUUUUCCCCUGUGACCUGGGAGAUCUGCUUUCAAACAUGCUCUGAAUACCUUCUCUUGCUCAUUCAGUAUGCACCCUUCUGUCAAAUGGGAAACAAAAGACCUCCUUCAGCUCAUGGCUAUCCCCACCAGGCCUGUACUGCAGACCCUUAUCCACAGGCCAAUUUUUGCAGGAUGGCUCAUGACCACACUGCUAAGAGUUUGGUCCCUACUGAGUGGACUGGCUGCAGCCACACUUCACAGUGCUCAACUCACAUCUCUUCUCAUGACCCUGUAGUUAACAUUUAGGAUUUCUUGUUUAUGGGCUUGGUGGUUUUUUUCAGUUCAAAGUAUGCAGAGUACUAAUAGGUGUAUGCUACAAGCAACCAGACCUGUGCUGUGUCAAAAAACUAUAAUGCCAGAAAAAAAAUCAUUGUGUGCUCUAGAAGAAGGAUGGGGGAGGGCACAAAUUACACUAUUGCCUGACCUUGGAUAAUGAUGAAGCACUGUCCUUGCUGAAGAAAACACAUUUGGUGUCUUCCACAUCUAUCCUAUCUGUUUGAAACAAACCUUGGAGUGCUCUACACAGGUGACUACAUUCACAUUCCCAUUGGGGUUCCCAAUGGAUUUGUUCCAGAGGAGUGCUCUGACACUGAUGGGUGGCAGGCAUACUGACCAUGGGUAGUAUCAAUGAUGAGGAAACCCAUUGCUGGAGAAGAACAGCAGUGCACCAAGUUCAGCCAUAGCAUUUUUAAGCAAUAGCUGUUCUAUUCUGACAAGGUCCAUGAAGUUCAGGAGAGGUCUCUCACUCUCCCAGACAGAACACCAAGCAGAACAUCAAACCCAAGUGAAACACAACAAUGUACAGUAGCCCUCAGCUGGUGUGUAAAUUGGUCAGUAAGGAAAAAUGACACACAUUUUCCACUGCUCUCCCACACUUUAAGAUAAUCAAGAUGAGUACUGCAUUUGUAGGGUGAUGUCUGGAAGCAUGCAGGAGAGCACCAGGACUUGCAGUGUCUCCCAUCCUCCCCUCCUUUCCCAGAAAUCCAGUGGCCAGUUUCAGCUCUGUUUUAUCACAGGUAUGAUUCAAGAGACUGAGAUGAGUCUCCUGUGGCUCUGCCCUUUUGAAUGUCACUGUUGCUCUAUGGAAACCCAGCUGCCACUAUGUUUUCCUGACUGCCUCUGAAAUUACUGUCAAGGACAGAAAAUGUUACUUAAAUUUUAAUUAAUAAAUUGAAUACCGUGGUGUUAAUUAUAGCUAUUUACAGGGAGUGUACGGGAUUUGGAGGGCCUACCUUCUGGUGUUUUUGCACAAAGUGUUGCCUCUUCCUUUAAGCUCUAAUUAGCUAGCUUUUUUCUUUUUAAUAGCCAGCCUUGAAAUGACUGCUCAGUAGCUCCCAUUUUGCUCCUCAUCAGCAGCCCUCCAGCACAGUUGCUACAGAAGGGAAGCAGCCCUGCAGUUUGCCUUGAAGGGAGCAGGUGAUAAAGAAUCUAUCAGAAGUGGUGUAAACCAAUAAAAUGAAUUUUAAAAAAAAGAAAAAAAAAAAGAAAAAAACAAGAGUCCCAACCCCUAAACUAUAUUAAACAAGGAAACUAUAUAAGAAACCAAAAAUAUGGGAAUAUGGGAAGAAAUAAGAAGGAACUGCCAUAUCUGAAGCGGCUUUAAGGUCAAAAAUGUUCUCUCUGUAUGCAGCCCUCUUGCCCAGCUGCAUAUUCUGCCUUCCUGCAUAUGCAGAAUGCCAAAAACCAUCAAUAGCAGAUAAGCACCUAGGAAAAAGCAAGCUGUUCCAGCACAAUGUCAACUGUGAAACAUGAAAUAAUUUCUCCUCUGCUCCUUAUUUUCAACCUACACAUUUCCUCCCUAGUGCUAAAACCUUUUCAAAAUUUAAAUGGACCCUGUUACCUGUACUUCUAGCUACUCAGUUUAUGCCUCUAAAGAAAAAGGGUCCUUUCAGGACAUUGUUAAAGUGAAGGCACACAGUAACACACAGUGCCCAGAUAUGAGGAAUUUAUUCCAGACAGCUUUUCAAUCUCAUGCCACUAGAUGAAAACUAAUAGUGCCUAAGAACCAGCACAGAAGAGAACUUUGGGAGUUUAGGGAUAUUUUGGGCGUUGUUUUGUUGAUUUUUUUUUUCUUUUUUGCAAAAAUGACCAACAUGUUCAGUAGGCAGACCACUGCUUUCCCUCAAGUAUCUGCUCCUGCCUGCUAAAUGUUCACAACUGGACUGCUGCCAUGGAGGGAGCAGAGGGCAGUGGUUGGAAGAUGAGGGCUGGCACAGCCUCUGCAACCAGUAGCUGGCUUGGUGCCUGCCUUCUCCUUCCUACCACAGCAGUUGGCUCCAAGUGGUAGGCACAGGAGACUGGUCUAGGCUCCUGCUGAGGUGAGACAGGGUGAAGGGAGGAGAGAAGAAAAUAUGUUGAAAUUUUUUUUUUUUUUUUUUAAUAACCAAAAGCAAUAAUGCUAGUAAGGGAAAAUGGGAAUCAACUUGCCAACAUGGAGAGCAGGAUAUCUUCAAAAUUUCACAUGGAACCCUGUGGUUUCUGAGGUUGGAACACCAUUGCCCAAAUUAAGAAAGCUAUCUUCCAUCUCAAGAAAGGGAACAUAAUAGCCAGAAUCACUCUUGCAGAAAAGCCCAACUUGUCUGACUCCUCAAGCAUGCUCCAAAACUUUAUCUACUCUCAUUUGUAGCAGAACAGCUGC
rnacentral:lncRNA from 1 species